rnacentral:rRNA from 1 species
AUUGAACGCUGGCGGCAGGCUUAACACAUGCAAGUCGAGCGGGGUGAUGGUGCUUGCACUAUCACUUAGCGGCGGACGGGUGAGUAAUGCUUAGGAAUCUGCCUAUUAGUGGGGGACAACAUCUCGAAAGGGAUGCUAAUACCGCAUACGUCCUACGGGAGAAAGCAGGGGAUCACUUGUGACAGUGCGCUAAUAGCUGAGCCUAGUCGGAUUAGCUAGUUGGUGGGGUAAGGCCUACCAAGGCGACGAUCUGUAGCGGGUCUGAGAGGGAUGAUCCGCCACACUGGGACUGAGACACGGCCCAGACUCCUACGGGAGGCAGCAGUGGGGAAUAUUGGACAAUGGGGGGAACCCUGAUCCAGCCAUGCCGCGUGUGUGAAGAAGGCCUUAUGGUUGUAAAGCACUUUAAGCGAGGAGGAGGCUACUGAGACUAAUACUCUUGGAUAGUGGACGUUACUCGCAGAAUAAGCACCGGCUAACUCUGUGCCAGCCGCCGCAGUAA